AAGACUCCGCCCACCAGCCAAGAUUCCCAGUCCCUGAAAUUUCUAACGCCGCGAAUCUAACGCCGCGGCUCCGAUGGUGGGGACAGGCCAGCCCAUGGGAUAGAUGCCCAUGCAGACCACACCAGCCGUCCUGAGGCCCCUGAGCCGUCAUGCACGUGCCGGCUGCGUGGACAACAAACACGCUCUCCACAACCUGCUCCGGAGGAUUUGGAUGCCCAACUAAAUCCCAGCGGGAGGACGCGACCUAGCGUCGGCGCGGUAAAUGCGGCGCAGAGAACGCGCAGCUCGGAAAGCGGGCGCCAAAAGUGCGGGACUGCAGUGCCACCUGGCGGGAGAGCGAGGAGUCGCGGAUUGGACCGGGUCCGCCUCCUAUAAGGCUUCGUUGCAUCCAACCCAAGCCUCUCAGGAGCUCCAGCCGCAGGUGUCCAGAUUCCGCCUAGAUGGGGCCGUUCAUGCGAUUCCCAUGUCCAAACCGCCUUCUGGCCUCCUUAGCCCGGUAGAGUAGCCACCCAGUCACCCCUGUGCUGGAAGUCACCUGGACUUCUCCUGUCUUGCACCCCUUCCCCAACGUUGGUAUUUUGGAUUCCUUUCCCUCUUACUCGAUUUUCUCCAGCUGUAGUAAAGCCACCUUAGUGUAAGUCAUCAUGA